AUUAAGCAUCCCGCCUGGGGAGUACGUCCGCAAGGUUAAAACUCAAAGAAAUUGACGGGGGCCCGCACAAAUCGGGUGGAGCAUGUGGUUUAAUUCGAAGCAACGCGAAGAACCUUACCUGCCCUUGACAUCCCGGUCGCGGUUUGGGGAGACCCAUUCCUUCAGUUCGGCUGGACCGGUGACAGGUGCUGCAUGGCUGUCGUCAGCUCGUGUCGUGAGAUGUUGGGUUAAAGUCCCGCAACGAGCGCAACCCUCGCCGUUUAGUUGCCAGCAGGUUUGGCUGCGCACUCUAACGGGACUGCCGGUGUCAAACCGGAGGAAGGUGNGGAUGACGUCAAGUCAUCAUGGCCCUUACGGGCAGGGGCUACACACGUGCUACAAUGGCGGUGACAAGUGAGUUUAUCUCCAAAAACCGUCUCAGUUCGAAUUGGGGUCUGCAACUCGACCCCAUGAAGUCGGAAUCGCUAGUAAUCGUGGAUCAGCAUGCCACGGUGAAUACGGUCCCCGGGGCCUUGUACACACCGCCCGUCACACCAUGGGAGUU
rnacentral:rRNA from 1 species